rnacentral:rRNA from 1 species
UCCACGCUGUAAACGAUGAUCACUCGUUGUUUGCGAUAUAUUGUAAGCGACUGAGCGAAAGCAUUAAGUGAUCCACCUGGGGAGUACGGUCGCAAGACUGAAACUCAAAGGAAUUGACGGGGGCCCGCACAAGCGGAGGAACAUGUGGUUUAAUUCGAUGAUACGCGAGGAACCUUACCUGGGUUUAAAUGUAGAUUGCAUGGGGGGGAAACUCUCCUUUCCUUCGGGACUAUUUACAAGGUGCUGCAUGGUUGUCGUCAGCUCGUGCCGUGAGGUGUCGGGUUAAGUCCCAUAACGAGCGCAACCCCUAUCGUUAGUUGCCAUCAGGUCAUGCUGGGGACUCUAACGAGACUGCCGGUGUAAACCGUGAGGAAGGUGGGGAUGACGUCAAAUCAGCACGGCCCUUAUAU